GGUGUAGGCGGCCUGUCAAGUCCGGUGUGAAAUCUCCCGGCUUAACUGGGAGGGUGCACUGGAUACUGAUGGGCUGGAGUACAGCAGAGGAAGAUGGAAUUCCCGGUGUAGUGGUGAAAUGCGUAGAUAUCGGGAAGAACACUAGUGGCGAAGGCGGUCUUCUGGGCUGCAACUGACGCUGAGACCCGAAGGCGUGGGUAGCAAACA
rnacentral:rRNA from 1 species